CCUACGGGAGGCAGCAGUGGGGGAUAUUGCACAAUGGGGGGAACCCUGAUGCAGCGACGCCGCGUGGGUGAAGGAGCGUUUCGGCGCGUAAAGCCCUAUCGGCAGGGAAGAAGGAGGACGGGACCUGACGAAGAAGCCCCGGCUAACUACGUGCCAGCAGCCGCGGUAAGACGUAGGGGGCAAGCGUUAUCCGGAUUUACUGGGUGUAAAGGGGGCGCAGACGGGAGCGCAAGCCAGGAGUGAAAGCCCGGGGCCCACCCCCGGGACUGCUCUUGGAACGGCGCGGCUGGAGUGCAGGAGGGGCAGGCGGAAUUCCUGGUGUAGCGGUGAAAUGCGUAGAUAUCACGCAGAACCCCGAUUGCGAAGGCAGCCUGCCAAGCCAUGACUGACGCUGAUGCACGAAAGCGUGGGGAUCAAACAGGAUUAGAUACCCUUGUAGUC
rnacentral:rRNA from 1 species